AUAGAAAGGCAGAUUAAUAAAGGUAGAGACAGAGAAUAUAGACCAUAGAAAGGCAGAUGAAUAGAGGUAUAGACACAGAGAUUAUGGCCAUAGAAAGGCAGAUGGAUGGAGGUAGAGACAGAGAUUAGAGCCAUAGAAAGGCAGAUGGAUAGAGGUAGAGACAGAGAGAUUAGAGACAUAAAGGCAGAUGGAUAGAGGUAGAGACAGAGAGAAUAUAGACCAUAGAAAGGCAGAUUAAUAAAGGUAGAAACAGAGAAUAUAGACCAUAGAAUGGCAGAUGAAUAGAGGUAUAGAUACAGAGAUUAUAGCCAUAGAAAGGCAGAUGGAUAGAGGUAGAGACAGAGACAGUAGGCAGAGGAUGGUGCCUAUACACCAGUUCCUGGAACCAUAUACUUUAGGAGAGGCCUCUUAGUGAAGGGAAGGUGGUGGGCCAUUCCAUUCCUGGAAAACCCCAAGAGGACCAUGCUAAUGAGGAAAAUGUGGCCCAAGGCAUGUCGCUGCCUGCCUGCCUGCCUGCCUGCUUUCAAAAGCUUCCCUGCAGAGACCGAAGACUAUUUCUAGCAACAGCACUGCUUCUUAGAAGAACACUAUCUCGAACACUUGAUGGGGAUUUAGGCGGGAAGGGAACCUUCGAUAUACAGUAAAUAGCACUUAACGGAUUCAACAUGGGAUCAUUUGAAGACUUUAGUUCCAAAACGCAAUGUCCGCCAAUUUUUCACAUUUGUGUUUUUUAAUCAAAAAUCAUUGCUUAUGUGUACCUUCAUGUGGAUUCAGUGUUGGGGCGGUAAUCAAAAGGUUGCUGGUUUGAAUACCUGAACCGACAAGUUGAAAAAUCCUCCCAGAAGAUGUGUGUGUAAAAAAUUACUGUUGUCAGAUUUUUUUAUUCAUAGAUUUUAAAAUGUUUUUUUUUUGCAAAACGCUAUAUAUCCAUUAUUUAGCUGAAAUGGAAUGUCCGUAUGAUUUGAAAGUAGUCAGGUUACACUGAAGGGUUCCCUGAUAACUUCCAUAUAAAAAGCAGCAGAG
rnacentral:lncRNA from 1 species